rnacentral:rRNA from 1 species
CCUACGGGAGGCAGCAGUGGGGAAUAUUGCGCAAUGGGCGCAAGCCUGACCCAGCAACGCCGCGUGAACGAAGAAGGCUUUCGGUUUGUAAACUUCUUUCGACAGGGAAGAGUAGAAGACGGUACCUGUGGAAUAAGCAACGGCUAAAUACGUGCCAGCAGCCGCGGUAAUACGUAGGUGGCAAGCGUUAUCCGGAUUUACUGGGUGUAAAGGGAGCGUAGCCGGGUUGACAAGCCAGAUGUGAAAGCCUGCGGCCGAACCGCAGGACUGCAUUGGAAACUGUUGAGCUGGAGUGCUGGAGAGGCAGGCGGAAUUCCUAGUGUAGCGGUGAAAUGCGUAGAUAUUAGGAGGAACACCAGUGGCGAAGGCGGUCUGCUGGACAGUAACUGACGGUGAGGCGCGAAAGCGUGGGGAGCAAACAGGAUUAGAUACCCGGGUAGUC